AUUAAUGCUAGCAUAUGUGUAUCGGUUCAGGUUCAGCCGUUGUUCUUGUCAAUAAUUAAUUGUUGAUGGAGAAUCGUAAACCUAAGCAAGUGCUGCCGUACUACGAAUGCUCUCAGCGAACAAAAUACAGACGGAUACAAAAUGGAUUGAAAGUUGCCAUCAGAAGUGACAGAGGACUGCCUGAAGUGGAGGUUUUGGAUUAACGAUACAGAUAAUGUGGUGUGUAGCUAUUUUUUGCGAUGAUGGUGAUAUCAGGAUCGUAUGUCAAAAAUGGCUUGUCGAAUCUACAAAAGGCAAUGUCCGAUGUUGGUAUCCAACUGCUAUUGAUGGCAACAAAUUGAACCGUCUGUUGGCGGAAAACACAGGUCCUGAUCAAGAGAACUGGGAAAUGGUAGCAAUUGAAAUCCUAAAGGACAAUAUAGGAACCCUCAUCGAUGCUCGAAAAAUAGCUAAAAAAGCUGAGGAUGAAGAAACAAGCUUAUCCCUCACUGAACCGGAAAACAUGGGUCGGGGGCGAAGAAAGAAGAAGAGCAGCCAAAGGUUCUUGUCUCCUUCUUCUAGUGAUGAAGAAAACCCUCCCCCACUAUCAACAGUUUCGAAGAGGUCUCGACUACAAGAGGAGCCACCUCGAUCACUCUUAAGGAUACAAUCCCUUAAGUGGCCUACCAGUUGUAUUGAUAAAGCUGGUAGACUACCAUUUUCAGAUCUAAAUCAAAUUAGUAGACCGCAAGGUGUUGCAUCUUCAACUCAGAAACCACCCCCCUCCUCUAGUAAUGCUCCCAAGACUACCCACAAGACUGGUACACCCCAGCCUCCGAGCCAUUUUCAAAAUUCCAAUCAAGUGAAGGGCUUCGCUGCCUCAACUCAGAAGCCAACCCCCUCCUCCAGUUAUGCUGCCAGAACUACUGAUAAGACCGGUACAUCCCAGCCUCCAAGCCAAUUUCAAAAUUCCUAUAAAGUACAGGGUUUUGCUGCUUCAACUCAGAAGCCACCCCCCUCCUCUAGUAAUGCUCCCAAGACUACCCACAAGACUGGUACACCCCAGCCUCCGAGCCAUUUUCAAAAUUCCAAUCAAGUGAAGGGCUUCGCUGCCUCAACUCAGAAGCCAACCCCCUCCUCCAGUCAUGCUGCCACGACCACUGAUAAGACUGGUCCUGUACCGAUCACCAGUCGAAGGAAAAAUUAUCCAAAAGUGCAGAUUCCUAAUGCUUCUCAAAGCCACAUUAAAAUGUCUAAAACAUCAACCCAUUCAAGUGCUGCACAUUAUGCACCGCCUCCAAGCACUAAUUUUGAUCCACGGGUUCAGGUUGACAAAACCUCUGCAGGUGAAAUUAUUCAAAAACUCGAAAAUUUCCAAGAACAAUUGAAUCGGAUUGAGAAGAUUACUGUGCAGACAGCCUCAAAGGUAGUUGUACUGAGCAAUGUAAGUGGGGACGUGCCCACAGCUCUGAUAGAAAUUCAAUCAAAGCUGUCAGAUCUUCUGUUAGUCGAAAAUCAUAGGCUGAGAGAUGAAAUCCUGCAAUAUUUACCGAUCAAUGAUGAUACGGCUCUGAAUGAAUUUGAAGCCAAGCUAAUAGACCCGAAAUUUCGCUCUGCUUUUAUAAAGUUUAUGGCUACCAAAGGCAGCACUAAAAAUGUGUCGCUAUGUGUAAAGAAGCUAAUGAAGGAGUUGUUAGUGGAUACGUUCGCCAUCAAUUACUGCAUGACGGGUCACCUUGGAAAAAAGCCUUUUAUGGAUAACAGAAACCUUUUUGAAUCAAUAGCAGCCGCCACAAGAAGUUUUCACCCUUCAGCUACUGAUGACGAUAUAAAACUCUAUGCCUCACAAUGGCUGACAAAAGCAAAAGAAAGAAUAAACUCCAAAGCGAAAUCACACUCUUCCUUGGAAAAUAAUCAGUCAGAGGCAGAAAACGCUGUAAAUGAGCAAAACUCAGAAGAAUCCAUCAUACUCCAAGAAGACUUAUCUCAAAAUAACUCAAGACUUUCGCCUGAAUACUCUGCUCCUAAUAACCUCAGACAUGCGCCUGAAGAUUCCUCGUCAAAUGUUGCUGCAUGUGAUCUAGGUUUGCCUGAUUUCUCACAAAUUUGGGCCGGAAGUUAUGAUGAUGCAUCUGCUAGCGAACUUGUUGGUGAGGAAAGAUAUGAUGGGGAGAAUGAACGUGAUGAGAGGGAUAGAGAAGAACUUGAUGAUGCAGAAACAUAUUUCGAACGUGAUGAGAGGGAUAGAGAAGAACUUGAUGAUGAAGAAACAUAUUUCAGCGGGGGCACUGAUUUUGUUGACAUGUUUCGUUGAUUUUUUGUGUCCUUUCCUUUUUACAUUAUUUUAAUAUUUAAUGCUACAGGUGAUACUAUCUAUUAACUUUUUUUAGUCCCUGCUCUUUUCUUACUUCCCUUUCAUAGUUAUUAGUAUGGAAAUCUAGUUCAAAUUGGUACUUUCUCAACAAUUUUGUGUUAACUGCUAUUUACUAGUUAUUAUUAUGAAAAAAAUUAAGUUCUACCAGUGUUCUCUCCAUUUGUUUUGUCACUGAUUGUAUUUUGUAAUUUCUUUAAUAUUUACUUCUAAUGAGUCAAACUUUCAUAACUAAGACUGAGAAAAGUUUCGAAGGGACUUUACUUUGUAAUUAACUUGAACCUGAAUGAGAGAGUUUAGCUGCUCUCUUCUAUUGUUGUCAUUUUAAUUUUCAUUUAUUUUUCACUUUUUAAAGUCAUUAUGCACCGCUGUUUUUCUAUAAAGGGGACUCGUCAAGGCUCUCUUUCAAUGAAGGCAAAUUCCAAAAGUUACCUUAGGCUUUUUUCCAUUUCUGUGUGCCAUCCGGUGUACGGAGAUGAAAAGUUAACAUUAAUACAGGGCGUAAUACUGAAAACUUGUUUUCAAGGUAUUUGAUAUCUUAUGCCAGUAAUUUGUUUUUUUAUCAUUCCUUCUUUUUUUGGACUUGACUGUAUGCCCACUAUGUGCCUAUUGCCCAUAGCCCACUUACUUUGAGCUCUCCUUUGAGCAUAGAAGUUUUUAGUCCGACUGAAUUUUUUAUAUUUUGUCACUUACCUCACUAUGUAUCUUUAGUUUUCAAAUUUCUAUUUUUCCUUUUUGUUUCGUCCCCACUGUUUUGUUUGUUUAAUUUAAGUUUAGUUUUGUUUGGGUGAUUAAAUUGGUUCUACGCGCAUAAAUUUGGGUCACCUGCCUUUUCUUGUUAUUAGUAUUAGUUUAAAUUUAGUUGAAAUUGGUACUAAUGUUGAAAAUUCUGCGUUACCUUCUUCUAUUUAUCAAUAUGAAAAUUAAGUACCUCCAGUGUUCUCCCCAUUAUUUUGUCGCUUAUUGUAUUCAGUUACUUCUUUACUAUUAACUUCUUGUAAUUCUAACUGUCAUAACUAAGAUUAACAUUUUGAGACUGAGAAAAGUGUCCCAAGAGACUUCUCAUUGUUUAUAAUAUGGUCUGAAACCUGACAGAAGAAGUUAAAUGGUAUUUUUAUUUUAAUUUCUUACCUUAGGCAUACUUAAUCAUUUCUAUGUGUAACCAAUAAAUGCAAGUAUUUUUCCGCAGAUGAUUGUAUCUGUUCGUUUAUUUGCUUUACUUCCAUCUAUCUUGCCCAAGUUGCGUACUGGUAACCCCAUUGCAAUGUUUCACAAUUGUUCUCAACAUUUGGAGCUUACUCACUGUAAAAGUUUCUGUUUAUUUCCUGUUAUUUUAACUUCCUAAACAAGAACAUUGAAAAUUUGUGUCAAAAUUGCACAUUGACUUCCAGAUUUUUAUAAUUUAUAUGAUGGUUGAAUUUAUGAGACUAAAAAUCAGAUUUUGCACUCCAUUGCCAUUUUAUUUACUGGUGGAUUUGGCUUCCUCUCGUGGAAACUAUUUUAUAUUUAUAUUCUCAGAAUAUUCUUCUCAGGAAUAUUCUGAGGAUAUUCUCUGAGUAUUCUAUUUAGUGCCACGAGAAUGUGCACAGAACAUUCUGAGAAUAUUCGAUGCAUCAGUAGAUCAUUCUCAGAAUAUUCUCAGAACAUUCCAUUUUUCCGUAGAAUAUUCCUGAAAUAGUUCUAGAAUAUUCUAUUUUUCAAUAGAAUAUUCUUAGAGUAUUCUCAGAUUAUCUCCUUGCACAGGGGGGUACAUACAGAAUUUGGAGGCUGUGAGAACUGUGAGACUCGAUUUGAAGAAAACCGCCCCUAUCAGGAAUAACCCUAGGAUAUUCUUAGCAGAAACCGUGUGCAGCAUAUUCCAAAUAUGUUCUCAACGUUUUCAAACAAAGUGCUUAGAAUAUCCUCAGAACAUUCUCAGCAUAUUCAAAAUUGCAGCAGAUUGGCGGAACAUUCUCAACAUAAUGUUUGCACAGGGGGGGGCGGCAAAUUUCGGAUGUUUUGGGGGUUUUUAUAGAGAAAGGGGGAGUUUAUGUUUCAUUUUCGCCUUUUACGUGUCACAAAUCUUCAUUCCUUGAAAUACG
rnacentral:lncRNA from 1 species